CCGUCUUCUCAGGUGCCAGCUGUGGGCCGCAGUGUUGAUAUGUGUGAUGUAUUCCGUCGCUGGCAGCCUCCUCGGACAGCUCCAGUCUGGAUGUGACCGGCAGGUAAAGCCUCCAGCUUGUGCUCAUCAGCUGCAAUCAAGGGAGCGGUAUUCUGAGGAGUGAUUUCUCUGCUAGAUCGUCAACCUACGUUCUUUGCCAGUGCCCUAUUGAAGACCCACUCCUCGACCUCCAGAUAUGUUUGUGAUGCCACACCUACUGUAGCUGUUCGCCUGGAUCCUCCAUCGAAUCCUCGCUUGCCUGUCCACUCUCCAAUGCUCACCUCCAUCCAGGGUGGCUCGUCAACAGUAUGUCUCACUGCCCCUCCCAGCCAAACUGAACCUUUGUGGAUAGAGUUGCGUCCUUCUCUUAUCUUCACCAUCAACCGGAACAGUAAGACCUAUCUUCUUUGUCCACUGCGUGAGGAGUCUGUUCAGCAUGCUCUCAAAUUCAACCCAGACUGGACUCUCUGCAUUGCAGUCUUUUCAGCACAUUCACUUUGGAAUAAACUUUGCUAUUGCUGCUUGCACUAGAGUUUCCGAUACAAUCGUCGGGGCAUUGUUGGGGUUAGGGUAAACUGUAUGCAUGAUUGAAUUCACUUUCUCAUUUUUGCAAAGUGUCUUGAGAUGACGUGUUGUAAACUGGCUCUCUAAAAAAGUUGAUUGAAAUGCUAGAAUAUAUUGUCUAUAAAAUAUGGUAGACUUUGUCACAAAAUGUCUUCGUCUGCA